rnacentral:lncRNA from 1 species
UGUGGGAUUGUGUGUGACUGUGCCUGGGACACUGCGUGGCUGUGUGCAGGCAACACCAUGAGGGACUGUGUGGACGCUGCUGUGGAAAUUGCAUGACUGUGCCUGUGACACUGCGAUGGGACUGGGCGUGAGCAUCCUGGGCUGAAGACUGGGGAUACACAGAGUGAUCCUGGGUGGAUUCCUCACCCUGCUGAGAAUGUGAGGUGGGACGACUUUGAAGA